rnacentral:lncRNA from 1 species
GACUGGUCGACGGCUGUGUUUUGUCCGAAGUCGUCCAGAGGAUCGUUCGCGUCGAUCCCGAACUACGGGUUUGGGACUCUCUAGGGUCCUUUCUCGAGGUAAACAGAUUCACUUUCCUCCUUCUCCUCGCUCCUUUGUUUAACUAAUUUUUCAACUUUCAUUCUGACCUCCUGGCCACCCUUGCAGAUCGGGCACCAGCUCCUUGCCAACAUCGAGGCGACGAACCAGGCGAGGAG